AACUCUGAUGAUGAUGAAUAAUUACACUUUCGCCUUUGCUGAGUUUUUAUCGUGCGGAAAAAUCUUAUGGAGACCUGAUCUGAAGAGUU